rnacentral:rRNA from 1 species
AGAGCGAACGCUGGCGGCAGGCUUAACACAUGCAAGUCGAGCGGGCGUAGCAAUACGUCAGCGGCAGACGGGUGAGUAACGCGUGGGAACGUACCUUUUGGUUCGGAACAACACAGGGAAACUUGUGCUAAUACCGGAUAAGCCCUUACGGGGAAAGAUUUAUCGCCGAAAGAUCGGCCCGCGUCUGAUUAGCUAGUUGGUGGGGUAAUGGCCCACCAAGGCGACGAUCAGUAGCUGGUCUGAGAGGAUGAUCAGCCACAUUGGGACUGAGACACGGCCCAAACUCCUACGGGAGGCAGCAGUGGGGAAUAUUGGACAAUGGGCGCAAGCCUGAUCCAGCCAUGCCGCGUGAGUGAUGAAGGCCCUAGGGUUGUAAAGCUCUUUGGUGCGGGAAGAUAAUGACGGUACCGCAAGAAUAAGCCCCGGCUAACUUCGUGCCAGCAGCGC